rnacentral:rRNA from 1 species
AUUGAACGCUGGCGGCAUGCCUUACACAUGCAAGUCGAACGGCAGCACGGGGGCAACCCUGGUGGCGAGUGGCGAACGGGUGAGUAAUAUAUCGGAACGUGCCCUAGAGUGGGGGAUAACGUAGCGAAAGUUACGCUAAUACCGCAUACGAUCUAAGGAUGAAAGCGGGGGAUCGCAAGACCUCGCGCUCGUGGAGCGGCCGAUAUCUGAUUAGCUAGUUGGUGGGUAAAAGCCUACCAAGGCGACGAUCAGUAGCUGGUCUGAGAGGACGACCAGCCACACUGGGACUGAGACACGGCCCAGACUCCUACGGGAGGCAGCAGUGGGGAAUUUUGGACAAUGGGCGCAAGCCUGAUCCAGCAAUGCCGCGUGUGUGAAGAAGGCC